rnacentral:lncRNA from 1 species
GGCUUGAUAGAGCUGCCUGGACAGGUGAUGGGAUUGGAUAUUGCCGCCCCACGUUCUCUGCCAGGGCAAGGCUGGAUUGAUUGCAUUAUUUAGAGUAAGCAAAACCCCCAAAAGCGAAGUGCUUGACUUUCAGGCUUUUCCUUCCAAAGGGGAGAGCUGAUGGCAGUUUAAUUUAAAAAGGGAGGCGGGGGUGACAAUGGAAUAUUCAAUCCAUGGUCAAUUCUCUGUUCUACAGGAUUUCAUUUUUGCUUACUUUCCAUGCAGUUGCAUUCAUUCAUGAUGUCUAGCACACGCUCUUGCCAGGAUGGCUGUGUGGAGGCUGGUGACAUUUGUAAGAAGGAGCAGCUGGAGGCUAAGGCAGCCGUGGUUUUUAACUAGCACUCAGUGGAACUGGAGGUUUUCUAGGAGGUUAGCAGAGAAGGCUGGAAACUAAUUUCAGAAGGUCUGAUAUUUUAUUUUUCUAGUCCUUUAUUUUUGUUUCUAACAAGACAGCAUUAGAAAGAUCUAAAUGUUAGGUUAACUAAUGUAUAGAGGGAACCCAGAUUGUCGUAAUAAAAAAUAUAAACUGAGGAGUUCCUGUUGUGGCUCAGCAGAAACAAACACGACUAGUAUCCAUGAGGAAGCAGGUUCAAUUCCUGGCCUCGCUCAGUGGGUUAUGGAUCCAGCAUCGCCAUGGGCUGUGGUGUAGGUUGCAGACACGGCUUAGGUUUGGUGUUGCUGUGGCUCUGGCAUAGGCCAGCGACUACAGCUCCAAUUCGACCCCUAGCCUGGGAACCUCCAUAUGCCAUCAGUAUGGCCCUAAAAAGAUAAAUGUAUCAUAUUUAUACCAAAAAGGAAAGAAACCUUCCCUAUGGAGCAAUGUGGAACUCCAGCCGCAUAUGCAACCUGUCUUGCAGAUCGAGGCAACGCUAGAUCCUUAACCCACUGAGUGAAGCCAGGGAUCGAACCUGCAUCUUCAUGGAUCCUAGUCAAGUUCUUAACUCACUGAGCCACAAUGGGAACUCCUUAACUUCAUUUUCAACCCUUGUCCCUCCUCAAGAGAAUGAAGGGUAGGGGUGACGAUUCCAAGCUUUUAGUCCUGGUUUCUUUCCGGUGGCCACCCCUCAUUCAGGAGCCCUUCAGAAGCCCACUCAGAGAAACGUCAUUAGAACAAAAUGUAUUCCUAUCACCCAGCAAAUUGCAGGGGUUUCAGAGGCCCUGGCUUGGGAAUCAGGGGCAGAGACCAAUAUUUUUUUAUUAUUUCACAGCCUAGAUGACCCCACCCCCAAGAAUGCCUCUGUGGGAGAAAGAGCUCCUUGAACUGUGAUUACUUUCUUGAUGGUGCCACAGUGUCAGUGAACUGUGAUGAGGGCAGGAUGGGGAAGAAAGAGGCCAGGGAGUGGGUGAUGCUGGACCAGUCACUUUAGACUAUUCUCUCUCUGCUCCAUUUCCAUCCCUAUUCCUCACCUUCCAGUCACCCACUGAAACACCUCUAGGGGUCAGGGACAGCAUGGACCCCUAGGAGGGUCCCUGAAACACCACUCCUGGCCACCCUGCACUGCUCUUCACCAAAGGGCAGCUCUCGAUGGACAAGAAAAGGCCCAGACUAUUGCAAUCCAGUCUCUGUAAAAAUAUUCCGGAAGAAGUUCUCUCCAAACUUCUGUUGAGGCUCCUUCCUUUAGACGUGAUCGAUGGCGCCUUUUUCUUGGCUGAAAUUCAAAGAAACCUCUAACACGAAUGAGGAAACACUUUCAAUCACUUUGCAAUCCACAGCUUGUCUCUCCUGCUUCUCUAAGGUUAUUGCAUUAUAUUUAGAAUGUUUACUUAAAAAGUGUGUAGGGCUGACCGGAGCUGAAUCUCUGUGUCUUUCAUUAGAACACAUCCACAUUUUCUAGCACUGGGGGCCACUGGCAGGAUGCUAAAAAUAGUCCACCGAAUCCUCUCCUCCACCAGAAGGAUGGAGAAAACAGAAGAAGAGAGAAAACAGAAACUCCCUCUUGACCCCUCUCCCUGAAUUCCUCCUGCAACGGAGUGAAGGUUUUGCUCCAGGAAUAAAAGUUCUUUGCCUUGAAAUGAGGGCUAACAAGAAGCUGGCACCUUCAGUCUGUUUCUGUGAAGCCAAAGGUGACAUGAGUGUUCUCGUCACACACUUGCUCUAAAACGCUAGCAACUUGACAUUACUUGCAGGACAGAGGCUGGAUGUCCUGCAUUUCAUUUCUGGGUUGCUUUUUAAUCAGUUCCAAUCACCCUGCGUUUCCCCUUCUGUUCUUGAAUUUUCACUUUCAGACUCAUCUCAUCAGUGUCCCCCAAUUCUUGCUGUUUUUCUGGUCCUUUGAUCACACUACUCUUUUCCAAACACCCGACUCUUAUAAACCGGUUUGGUUCAGCUCAUCUUUCCUGGAAGAACACCAAGCUCCCCUUCCAGAAAAGCCUGCCCUGACUUCCCAAAUUAUGAAGAAAUUUCCAGCCUCCUGCAGGACUCAACAGCAGUCUGCUCUUUCUGACGCUUAGCAAAUGAGUCUUACACAGGUAAUUUAUCUUUUAGAUGUGUGCAAGUUUUAUUUUCUUAAUAUCUUGCAAACUUCUGGGAAUCCGAUUGUGUGUUUUAGUCUCUGUAUCUGAUGUAGCCAUUGACAAACAGUAGGUGCUUAAUUAGUGUUUAAGGAUUGCUUUAGGAAUCCUUGCUCUGUUUCCAUAGGGUGAAUUGAACAUACAUAUCAGCCAGGCCAGGGGGAGAACUCUCCAGGGUUUUUGUAAAGUGGUGCUUGAUAAAUGUUCCUUUUCCCCUAAAAUGCUUGUAGAGGGAUGUGAUGGGUGUUGGGAGGAGGAAGGUCACCUCUGUGGUUUAAAAAGAAAAAGAAAGAUAUUUCUUUGUACAGUAUCCUCACUGAGUCACAAGACCCUUGAACAUAUUAAAGGUGCUCAGAAAUCCUGCAGUAAAGAAAGCUCUUUUAUUUUGUUGAGUUUACCAUCUCCCAAAUUAAGUUGACUGUGUUACUCUUUUUAUUUUCAUUUUUCUGAGAAGUAAAUGACCUUUCGCAUCCACAAACACUAAAUGUCUCAGUCAGCUCGCUGGUUUAAACAACAGAAAUUUAUUUCUCACAGGUCAGGAGGCUGGGAGUCCAAGAUCAAGGCUCCAGCAUGGUUGGGUUUUUAGAAAGAGCCCUCUUCCUGGCUUAUAGAAGGCCAGCUUCUUGCUUUGUCCUCACCUGACAGAGAGAAAGAGAGCUCUGGUCUUUCUUCCUCUUCUUUUAAGGACCCUAAUUCCACCCCCAGGAUUUCAUUUAAAUCUAAUUGGCUUCCAAAGCACCCCCCCGCCCCCGCCCGCUGCCGCCGCAGCACCAAAAAAAUACCAUCACAUCAGAGGAUAGGGUUUUGAUUUCUGAAUGUGGGGGAAGGGUGGCCCAAACUUUCAGUCCACAACACAAAACCUCUGUCGAACACAUUUUGAAAGAAUCUUCUUCCUCUCAGGCUUUCCAGCUACCUUCCCUCCAAGCCACACUUUCAGUGAGCUUUUCUCAUCUGUGACUGACAUGGUCUCUUGGGUAAUUGGAUUUCAAUACUCUGUGAAGCGUUUAUUAUUUUGCCCAGUUUGCACUCUGAACAAGUGCCUCCCAUUUCUGAGGUUCUGUUUUGCAUCCUUUUCCGUAGGUCCGAAUGAGGACCAGGGCAUUAAUCAAUAUUUCUGGUAACUGAGGUAACCACAAGACGUAAAGUAGACAAUUUUUUGUUCUCCUGCCCUAUGUGAACAUUUUAGAGGUUUUCCUAGUCCAAUCGGAUUUUUAAAAAACACACAUGAAGUAAUGAAGUACUUGGAAAGCGAGUAAUAUGCCCACAAGUUGGGGUAAAGUUGGAGGUAAAUCCAAGACUUCUGGCUGCCAGGUAAGUGGCCUUUUCCAUACCUCUCUCUAACUUCUCAAUCGUGUGGCAUUGCCCAAGUCUGAAAUUUUCCUUAAUCUCUUGAAGUCAGCUUAGAUCAACCCAAACAGGAAAGAAAGUUACAUCUCAUUUCUGGUAAUCUGUACAAGAGGUUUCUGUACUGGGUUCCCUGUAACCAGACCCUUCGAUUCUUCUUUGCAAGGAACACUCUUCCUUCCCCCUCAAUCUGCUCGGCCUCCUGUGGGUGUUUCCAAGGCAAAGUCCCUUGAAAAAGGUGGCACUCAAGACAAAACCCAGUUCUCCAGAUGUGACCUGACUUGACAAAAUGCAGUGGGGCUCUUCCUGCUCCCUUACCCCAGGCCCACUGCUUCUCUUGCUGUGGGAGAAGGAUGUUACUCUUAGUGGAUCCAGAUAUUCUUUUCAUUAUGCUUUUGCCUGCCUCCAGACCUACUUGCUAUCUCUUAGCCUGGGGUUUGCUUUUUCUUUUUUUUUCUUUUCAUAGCUACACCUGUGGCAUAUGGAAGUUCCAGGGCCAGGGGUCAAAUCAGAGCUUCAGCUGCAGACUUACCCACAGCCACAACAACAAUGGAUCCAAGCCACAUCUGUGACCUGCACCAUGGCUGUGGCAACACCAGAUGCUUAACCCACUGAGCAAAACCAGGGGUCAAACCUGCAUCCUCACAGAGACAGCAUUUGGGUCCUUAACCCCCUGAGCCACAAUGGGAACUCUUAACCUGGGGUUUUGAGCCUUCCCACCAUUUGGUUCCUCUCCAAUUUAAUUUAUAACAUCUUUUGCUACAUCCCAGCUUUUGUCCUCUUGUCAGUCAAGCCUGCCUUACAUUUCCCUGUAUCUGCUUCUGCUUCACUUAAAAAAAAAAUAAAAAUAAAAA